AUGUCUUAACCUAUUCCCAAAUGCCUUCUGUUUUCCAAAGGAGUGGUCAAGCCCUUGCCCAGAGCUCUCUAUUCUGGAAGAGCGGUCCAGGUGGGGCCGGGCACUGGCCACUGAAUUAUGCCAGGGCGCACUUUCCACUGGAGUCCACUUUCAAUUGCUUCUGUGCAAUAAAACCAAGUGCUUAUAAAAUGAAAA